rnacentral:other from 12 species
AUCCCUGUGAGGAACUUCUGUCUUCACGCGGAAAGCGCCUAGCCAUGGCGUUAGUACGAGUGUCGUGCAGCCUCCAGGACCCCCCCUCCCGGGAGAGCCAUAGUGGUCUGCGGAACCGGUGAGUACACCGGAAUCGCUGGGGUGACCGGGUCCUUUCUUGGAGCAACCCGCUCAAUACCCAGAAAUUUGGGCGUGCCCCCGCGAGACCGCUAGCCGAGUAGUGUUGGGUCGCGAAAGG